UGAACGCUGGCGGCGUGCCUAAUACAUGCAAGUCGAGCGAACAGACGAGGAGCUUGCUCCUCUGACGUUAGCGGCGGACGGGUGAGUAACACGUGGAUAACCUACCUAUAAGACUGGGAUAACUUCGGGAAACCAGAGCUAAUACCGGAUAAUAUAUUGAACCGCAUGGUUCAAUAGUGAAAGACGGUUUUGCUGUCACUUAUAGAUGGAUCCGCGCCGCAUUAGCUAGUUGGUAAGGUAACGGCUUACCAAGGCGACGAUGCGUAGCCGACCUGAGAGGGUGAUCGGCCACACUGGAACUGAGACACGGUCCAGACUCCUACGGGAGGCAGCAGUAGGGAAUCUUCCGCAAUGGGCGAAAGCCUGACGGAGCAACGCCGCGUGAGUGAUGAAGGUCUUCGGAUCGUAAAACUCUGUUAUUAGGGAAGAACAAAUGUGUAAGUAACUAUGCACGUCUUGACGGUACCUAAUCAGAAAGCCACGGCUAACUACGUG
rnacentral:rRNA from 1 species